rnacentral:rRNA from 1 species
AUUGAACGCUGGCGGCAUGCCUUACACAUGCAAGUCGAACGGCAGCACGGGUGCUUGCACCUGGUGGCGAGUGGCGAACGGGUGAGUAAUACAUCGGAACGUACCUUAUCGUGGGGGAUAACGCAGCGAAAGCUGUGCUAAUACCGCAUACGCCCUGCGGGGGAAAGCGGGGGAUCGAAAGACCUCGCGCGAUUAGAGCGGCCGAUGACUGAUUAGCUUGUUGGUGGGGUAAAAGCCCGCCAAGGCGACGAUCAGUAACUGGUCUGAGAGGACGAUCAACCACACUGGGACUGAGACACGGGCCAGACUCCUACGGGAGGCAGCAGUGGGGAAUUUUGGAAAAUGGGGGCAACCCUGAUCCAGCAAUGCCGCGUGUGUGAAGAAGGCCUUCGGGUUGUAAAGCUCUUUUGUCAGGGAAGAAACAGCAGCUCUAACACAGUUUGCGAAUGACGGUACCUGAAGAAUAAGCACCGGCUAACUACGUGCCAGCCGCCGCCGUAA